rnacentral:rRNA from 1 species
GCAUAAUCAUUUGCCUCUUAAUUGGAGGCUGGAAUGAAUGGAUAUACGAGGUUUAAGCUGUCUCUUCUUUAGGACUAAAAAUUGGCUUUCAGGUGAAGAGACCUGGAUAUUAGUAUAGGACAAAAAGACCCUAUUGAGCUUUAUUUAAGAGAAAUUUUUCUGGAAUAAUUUACUUAAUAAUUUUUAUUAAAUUUGGUUGGGGCAACAAAGAAAUAUAUAAAUUUUUCUUUAUUUAUUAGAAUUGUGUUUCGUUUAAAUGAUCUAUUACGAUGAUAUAAAGAAAGAGUUACCAUAGGGAUAACAGGCUAAUUCUUUUGUAGAGUUCAAAUUGAUAAAAGAGUUUGGCACCUCGAUGUUGGCUUAGGAUAUCCUAUAGGUGCAGAAGUCUAUAAGGGU